rnacentral:rRNA from 1 species
UACGAAGGGUGCAAACGUUGCUCGGAAUUAUUGGGCGUAAAGCGCACGUAGGCGGCAUCGCAAGUCGGAUGUGAAAUCUUAUGGCUUCGAACCAUAAAAAGUGGCAUCCGAAACUGCAGUGCUUGAGUACUUAAGAGGGAUCGCGGAAUUCCCGGUGUAGAGGUGAAAUUCGUAGAUAUCGGGAGGAACACCAGUGGCGAAGGCGGCGAUCCUGGGGAAGAAUACUGACGCUGAGGUGCGAAAGCGUGGGGAGCAAACAGGG